rnacentral:tRNA from 1 species
GGGGUUGUGGCUCAAUGGUAGAGUGCUUACCUAGCACAAAUGAGGCAUUGGGUUCGAUCCCCAGCACCACA